AGUGAACGCUGGCGGUAGGCCUAACACAUGCAAGUCGAACGGCAGCACAGUAAGAGCUUGCCCUUACGGGUGGCGAGUGGCGGACGGGUGAGGAAUACGUCGGAAUCUACUUUUUCGUGGGGGAUAACGUAGGGAAACUUACGCUAAUACCGCAUACGACCUACGGGUGAAAGCAGGGGAUCUUCGGACCUUGCGCGAUUGAAUGAGCCGAUGUCGGAUUAGCUAGUUGGCGGGGUAAAGGCCCACCAAGGCGACGAUCCGUAGCUGGUCUGAGAGGAUGAUCAGCCACACUGGAACUGAGACACGGUCCAGACUCCUACGGGAGGCAGCAGUGGGGAAUAUUGGACAAUGGGCGCAAGCCUGAUCCAGCCAUACCGCGUGGGUGAAGAAGGCCUUCGGGUUGUAAAGCCCUUUUGUUGGGAAAGAAAAGCAGCAGGUUAAUACCCCGCUGUUCUGACGGUACCCAAAGAAUAAGCACCGGCUAACUUCGUG
rnacentral:rRNA from 1 species